rnacentral:tRNA from 2 species
GGAGCGGUGGCCGAGCGGUCGAAGGCGCACGCUUGGAAAGCGUGUGGGCAGGUGACUGUCCCGAGGGUUCGAAUCCCUUCCGCUCCGCCA